rnacentral:rRNA from 1 species
UGGGGAAUAUUGGACAAUGGGCGAAAGCCUGAUCCAGCAACGCCGCGUGAGUGAAGAAGGCCUUCGGGUUGUAAAGCUCUUUUAGUGGAGAAGAUAAUGACGGUAUCCACAGAAAAAGCUCCGGCUAACUUCGUGCCAGCAGCCGCGGUAAUACGAAGGGAGCUAGCGUUACUCGGAAUUAUUGGGCGUAAAGCGUGCGUAGGCGGUUGUGUAAGUUGGGAGUGAAAGCCCAGGGCUUAACCUUGGAAUUGCUUUCAAAACUACACGACUAGAGUAUUGGAGAGGAUAGUGGAAUUCCUAGUGUAGAGGUGAAAUUCGUAGAUAUUAGGAGGAACACCAGAUGCGAAAGCGGCUAUCUGGCCAAAUACUGACGCUGUUGCACGAAAGCGUGGGGAGCAAA